AUUGAGCGCUGGCGGCAUGCCUUACACAUGCAAGUCGAACGGUAACGGGCCUUCGGGUGCCGACGAGUGGCGAACGGGUGAGUAAUACAUCGGAACGUGCCCGAUCGUGGGGAUAACGAGGCGAAAGCUUUGCUAAUACCGCAUACGAUCUACGGAUGAAAGCAGGGGACCGCAAGGCCUUGCGCGGACGGAGCGGCCGAUGGCAGAUUAGGUAGUUGGUGGGAUAAAAGCUUACCAAGCCGACGAUCUGUAGCUGGUCUGAGAGGAUGAUCAGCCACACUGGGACUGAGACACGGCCCAGACUCCUACGGGAGGCAGCAGUGGGGAAUUUUGGACAAUGGGCGCAAGCCUGAUCCAGCCAUGCCGCGUGCAGGAUGAAGGCCUUCGGGUUGUAAACUGCUUUUGUACGGAACGAAAAGCCUUCUUUUAAUACGGGAGGGUCAUGACGGUACCGUAAGAAUAAGCACCGGCUAACUACGUG
rnacentral:rRNA from 1 species